GACGUCGAUAUAGGACGUCAUAAACACGGUCAACUUUGGUGUUUAUGACGUCGAUAUACGACGUCAUAAACACGGUCAACUUUGGUGUUUAUGACGUCGAUAUACGACGUCAUAAACACGAUCAACUUUGGUGUUGAUGACGUCGAUAUACGACGUCAUAAACACGAUCAACUUUGGUGUUUAUGACGUCGAUAUUCGACGUC